UCUUUUAAUGCUGAUUUCAUCGGCACUAGUGUUCUCACGAGAACUGUCCGUUUCGUACCGGGCGUCACUCGCCCCAAAGAGGGGGUCGCGUUUGAUGCGGGUAGCGAGAAGUUCGCCACGGAGGUUAUCGAUUUGGACGAGCCCGCCGCCGUGGAAUAUCCCCAAUCUCCGCUUCCUGUCCUUCCGGCGCAGAGAUUGGAGCAGCUGCCUGCUUUGUAUGACAUUGACAUCGACUUGCUUGGUGGUGCCCAACGGUUGAAUGACAGUCUCGUUGAUUUCUUCCUGGCUCUGGCACGCCGCCACUACUGCACUACGGAUUAUGGAGAAUCAUUUACCUGCUCUUCGUUUCUCUAUAGAAAGUUUAAAAGGUAUCAUCCAAAUGGCGCAUUGCUAAACCAGCUCGUAUUGCAAUGGAUUCUCAUUUUUCAUUUUUUAUUCAGGGCGUUGCAGUCUACCGCCAACGUGGCGGUCGUUCCUCCCAACCUCGACAUGACGGCCGGUACGGAUCAGGGGAUUCUGUUGGAUUUUACUAACGUGCUAAUGCCCGUCUUUGAUGGUGACCAUUGGAUACUCUUUGUCAUUCACACUGCCAAUGUGAGCGGGUAAGUAGGACAAGACUAACGAUUGUUUGUCGUCUAUUGAUCGGGAACUUUUGUUUAUGUUUGAGGUGAUUGGGUGUCUGGUGUUUGAUUCCAUUGCAACGCUUGUACUAUGCGGUAGGGUGAGACUCCUUGUUUUCAACUCUGCUACAUCAGCAAUGGAGCCACGGAGACACAUAAUUGCUACUGUGAAGGCCUACGUACAGCGGGCGAUGCGCAAAGCCAGUGGCGCAGAGGAUUACUGCCGGGACGCAAACGUUUGGGUCGACUAUGCCAAUGUGCCUAGGCAAAGUUCAGGAUCGCUGGAUUGCGGUAUGGAAUUAAUAACCGAAGUCGACUAUGGCCUUAAGAUUAGGGACCUGCUGAAGGAAAUCGUACAGCUACGCUCAGAACUGGAUAUCCUCUAAAGAAAGGUGAAAGCCAGAAAAUUGGACCACAACUAGCACUGUUUGAAGCCCCAAAAGACCCUGACUUGUUUAAGAAGUGGUAAAAGAAAAUACCAAGGAAAAAAUUUGUGUUAAGGAACAGCUCUUAUGUAUAUGAGC
rnacentral:misc_RNA from 1 species